rnacentral:tmRNA from 1 species
UUCCUUUUAUUUUGCCCCGCACACGCCUAUAUAGAGGGCGUCGGGCAACCGACUAUGGCGAUAAACGAAUUAUGGAAUAAGCGGUUCGGACCCGGGGGCGGUACCCGGCGCCUCCACCAAUUUCACCGGCCUAAUUGGGCCAAAUACAACAGUGAUUUUGGGGGCGAAAUAGGAUCGACGAACGUAGUAAAGAUAUCUUCUUUCGCUCGGCAUGAUACCGCCGUUAUCGGGUCAUAUAUACAAAUGCCAACGAUAAUGAGGCAUACGCUCUAGCUGCUUAAUAACCAGCAAAAGCGCGGUUCGGAGGGGCACCGGGCAACAGAAGCCCCUCCACU